UACGUAGGGGGCAAGCGUUAUCCGGAUUUACUGGGUGUAAAGGGAGCGUAGACGGCCAGACAAGUCAGAAGUGAAAGCCCAGGGCUCAACCCUGGGACUGCUUUUGAAACUGCCGGGCUGGAGUGCAGGAGAGGAAAGUGGAAUUCCUAGUGUAGCGGUGGAAUGCGUAGAUAUUAGGAGGAACAUCAGUGGCGAAGGCGACUUUCUGGACUGUAACUGACGCUGAGGCACGAAAGUGUGGGGAGCAAACAGG
rnacentral:rRNA from 1 species